GACGAACUGUCCAAACGUUGUUCGGAAUCACUGGGCUUAAAGGGCGCGUAGGCGGUCUGGUAAGUCAGGGGUGAAAUCCCACAGCUUAACUGUGGAAGUGCCUUUGAUACUGCCAGUCUGGAGGGAGAUAGGGGUGUGCGGAACUUCCAGUGGAGCGGUGAAAUGCGUUGAUAUUGGAAGGAACGCCGGAGGCGAAAGCGGCGCACUGGAUCUCUUCUGACGCUGAGGCGCGAAAGCUAGGGGAGCAAAC
rnacentral:rRNA from 1 species